AACGCUGGCGGCAUGCCUAACACAUGCAAGUCGAACGAAGGCUUCGGCCUUAGUGGCGCACGGGUGCGUAACGCGUGGGAAUCUGCCCUUAGGUUCGGAAUAACAGCUGGAAACGGCUGCUAAUACCGGAUGAUAUCGCGAGAUCAAAGAUUUAUCGCCUGAGGAUGAGCCCGCGUUGGAUUAGGUAGUUGGUGGGGUAAAGGCCUACCAAGCCGACGAUCCAUAGCUGGUCUGAGAGGAUGAUCAGCCACACUGGGACUGAGACACGGCCCAGACUCCUACGGGAGGCAGCAGUGGGGAAUAUUGGACAAUGGGCGAAAGCCUGAUCCAGCAAUGCCGCGUGAGUGAUGAAGGCCCUAGGGUUGUAAAGCUCUUUUACCCGGGAAGAUAAUGACUGUACCGGGAGAAUAAGCCCCGGCUAACUCCGUGCCAGCAGCCGCGGUAAUACGGAGGGGGCUAGCGUUGUUCGGAAUUACUGGGCGUAAAGCGCACGUAGGCGGCUUUGUAAGUCAGAGGUGAAAGCCUGGAGCUCAACUCCAGAACUGCCUUUGAGACUGCAUCGCUUGAAUCCAGGAGAGGUCAGUGGAAUUCCGAGUGUAGAGGUGAAAUUCGUAGAUAUUCGGAAGAACACCAGUGG
rnacentral:rRNA from 1 species